UAUCUCACACAUGUACACAGCUAGCAUGUUUGGCUCGGCCUAUAUAAUAUCUUCACAAAGUUUGACCUCAAAUCAGGUAGGACUACCCGCUGAACUUAAGCAUAUCAAUAAGCGGAGGAAAAGAAACCAACAGGGAUUGCCUUAGUAACGGCGAGUGAAGCGGCAAAAGCUCAAAUUUGAAAUCUAGUACCUUCGGUGCUCGAGUUGUAAUUUGAAGAUGGUAACUUUGGAGUUGGCCCUUGUCUAUGUUCCUUGGAACAGGACGUCACAGAGGGUGAGAAUCCCGUCUGGCGAGGUGAUCCAACUCUAUGUAAAGUGCUAUCGAAGAGUCGAGUUGUUUGGGAAUGCAGCUCUAAGUGGGUGGUAAAUUCCAUCUAAAGCUAAAUAUUGGCGAGAGACCGAUAGCGAACAAGUACAGUGAUGGAAAGAUGAAAAGAACUUUGAAAAGAGAGUGAAAAAGUACGUGAAAUUGUUGAAAGGGAAGGGUAUUAGAUCAGACUUGGUGUUUUAUGAUUAUCUUCUCUUCUUGAGUUGUGCACUCGUAACUCACUGGGCCAGCAUCGAUUCGGAUGGCAAGAUAAUGACAUUGGAAUGUGGCAUUUACUUCGGUGGAUGUGUUAUAGCCCUUGUUGAUGUUGCCUAUCUGGAUCGAGGACUGCGUCUUUUGACUAGGAUGUUGGCGUAAUGAUCUAAUAUCGCCCGUCUUGAAACACGGACCAAGGAGU
rnacentral:rRNA from 1 species